GAGGCGGCAACGAGCAUGUGGUGAUCGUGUGACUCGUCCCAAUUUCUCUACGUUAAUGUACGAGUGAAACUCGAACGUUUAUCAGUGUUUCAAAAGCUACCGAAUGUGACGGUUUGCCAAGUCACGAGAAGACAUUCUUCAUUCGUCUAUUGCUUUCUGGGUACUGGGCCAAGUUCCCUUGCACACUUGCCGUGAUUAAUUAGAACAUUUGGUGUGGCAAAAGUGGAGAUUGGUACGAUGACGGAGGUUGUUGCUGAUUAUAAAUCUGCUCGGACGGCGUAGGUGGCUUGUAGAUUGGUGGCAUUUGGAGGUGGAAAAUAUCAUUUUUCUAACUAAUGGAGGUUAAAUCACAUGCGAAAAUACGCGCGCAGAACAUCGUUGACAGCUUGUCGAAAAUAAAAUAGAGAGAUGUGGGGAGGGUUAUCAGUCCUUGAAACAGUUUGGAAAAAAAGCCAUAGAUACUUGAAAUGUUACAGGCUAAUUCACUGUUCACAGAAGGAAGAAACAAAUGAGACGAAAAAACAACUACCAUGAAUUACUAUAUUCUCGAUAACUCACAUCGAACCUAACAAUAUUCGGUCGCACACCAUAAUAUAGCAAUGAAAAUGAAUAAAAAGAAGAAGAAGAGAUGUUGAGCGGCAUCAUUCGAUCUUCUACCGGCUUCAAGCCAAUAGCAAUUCGAAAACCAAUUGGAAACCUGUCCCACUCUGUUCGGGGUUCUGUGGCAAGAUGAAAUUGCAUUGCGUCUCAGUCGUGGUUCUAUUGCUUUCACUAUGCCUUUGGAGUUGCCAAGGAGAGGAAGAACGCAAGAGCCAUGGCGAACGGCAUAAGCGAUUCUUGUACUACAGCAAGAAAGGCGGGUUCGGCCUCGGUUUGGGUCUUGGACCGAAAGGCGCUGGAGUCCCGGCAAUGACCAUGGUCGGUCUCGUGGAGCAACCAGUUCCUGUCCAUGUCGGCGUGCCAGAAUACCCGCCCUACCCUCCUCCAGCUUAUUCACCACCUCCAGAGUAUUCACCCCCACCUUAUGCUCCCCCACCAAGCUACGCUCCUCCACCUUACGCUCCUCCGGCUUAUGCCCCACCAUCAUACGCUCCGCCGCCGCCUGCGUAUUCUCCUCCCGCACCUGCCUACGCACCACCGCCUCCAUAUUAGGUGCAUUUGCAGCUCGCUUUGAUUCCCUUGAAUUUAAUACUACCACACAGCUGGAACUGAUGUGGUGGAAGAAAGAUUCAUUUUCGACCAAUUAAUUGCAUUUUCAUUUCCAAUGCUGUAAGCCUUGUACGUCAA